rnacentral:rRNA from 1 species
UACGUAGGGUGCGAGCGUUAAUCGGAAUUACUGGGCGUAAAGCGUGCGCAGGCGGUUCGUUAAGUUCGAUGUGAAAGCCCCGGGCUCAACCUGGGAACUGCAUUGGAAACUGGCGAGCUUGAGUAUGGCAGAGGGGGGUGGAAUUCCGCGUGUAGCAGUGAAAUGCGUAGAGAUGCGGAGGAACACCGAUGGCGAAGGCAGCCCCCUGGGCCAAUACUGACGCUCGACGGCACGAAAGCGUGGGGAGCAAACAGGA